UUAUUUAUUUUUUUUAUAAAAAAAAUUAUUAAUUUAUUUGUAUUUAAAUUAGUUUAUUUAAUUUGUUUUAUUAAAAAUAAUUUUAGAUUAAUUUUUAUUUUUAGUAUAGUUUAUUAAACAAAUAAAAUUUAUUAUAAGUUAAUAGUAUUGAAAAAGAAAGUUGAAAUAGUUUAAAAAUUUAAUUUUUAAAAAGAAAAAUUAAAUUUUUGUACCUUGUGUAUCAUGAUUGAUUUAAUAAAUUUUAAUAAAUUUAUUUUUCUCGAAUUAAAAAGAUUUAAUUUAAAAUUAUAUUUUUUUGUAUAAAAAAAAUUAUAAAUUUUUAAUUAGAAAUAAAAAGUUAAUCGUUUUUUAAGUUAUCUAGUUUUUUAAGAAAUAAAUUAAAUUUAUUUUUAAAAAUAAUAUUUUUAAUUUUAAUAGUUUUUAAAAUUAAAUUAUUUUAUUUUUUAAUUUAAAUAUUUAAAGGGAUGAUCUUUUAAAUAAAAUUUUAUAAUUGAUUAAACUUUUGUUAAAAUUAAAUAAUCUUAAAAAUAGAUAUUUUUAAAAAAUAUGUUUUUAUUUAAUAAUUUUUAAAAAAAAUAUUUUUAUAAAAAUUUAAUUUUUUAUUAAAAUAUUUAUUAAAAUUUAAAAAAUAAAAUAAAAAUGAUUAAAUUAGUAAAAUUUUAAAAAUUUUAAAAUUGUCUAUAAAUUAUUUAAUUUUUUUUAAAUAAUUCAGCAAAAUUUUUUAUUUAAAUGUUUAACAAAAACAUUGUUUUUUAAAUUAAAAAUCUAUAAAAAAUAUAACCUGCCCAUUGAAUUUUUUUAAAGGCCGCAGUAUUUUGACUGUGCAAAGGUAGCAUAAUCAAUAGUCUUUUAAUUGAAGACUAGUAUGAAUGGUUGAAUAAAAUAAAUACUUUUUUUAAAAAAUUAUUUUAAUUUUUUUUUUUUGUUAAAAAUCUAAAAUAACUUUUAAAGACGAUAAGACCCUAUAAAGCUUUAUAUUUUUUUAAGUAAAAUUCAUUAGAAUUUUAAUAUUUUUAUUUAAAAAAAUAUUUUAUUGGGGUGAUAAUAAAAUUUAAAAACUUUUAUUUUUUAAAUUUAAUUUUAUUUAAAUAUUUUUUUUUUGAUCCAAUAUUUGAUUAAAAAUUUAAGUUACUUUAGGGAUAACAGCGUUAUUUUUUUAGAGAGUUCUAAUCGAUAAAAAAUAUUGCGACCUCGAUGUUGGACUAAGAGUAAUUUUUGGUGUAGAAGUUAAAAAUUUUAGUCUGUUCGACUAUUAAAUUCUUACGUGAUCUGAGUUCAAACCGGUUUAAGCCAGGUUGGUUUCUAUCUUAAAAUUUUUUGUUAUAUUUUAGUACGAAAGGACCAAGUAUAAAUUUUUUAAAAUAUUUUUUUUUGAUUACUAUUAAAUUUUUUUAAAAAAAAUUAUUUUUUUUGUUCUUAUUGUUUUAA
rnacentral:rRNA from 1 species